AGACGACAGCAAAGCAUCAGACCAACACUUCCUCCGAAGCAAGCACCAAGCCGCUAGCACCACACCCUAGCCAUCUCGCCGGAUCUGGCGGUGGUUCGCUCUCCUCCUCGGCGCCGUCGCGCUGCCUCGCUCCCCUCGCGCCGGGCGGGCGUGGCGACGCACGAGCGGGCGCUCGGGCACCGCAAGGAGGGAGCAAGGCCGCCGGUCGAAUCGUGGCGGCGACGGCGCGUUGGGGCAGAGCGGAGCGAGAGGCUCGCCAGUGAAGGAAGGGAAGGAGAGGUGCUGCCAACCACGGCCGCCGUCGCGGCGCGUCUGAGUACGGUAGCAUGGGCCGGGGCUGAGGAAACGGCCCGCAGGCCCAAGCCCGCGGCCCUGGACGGCGAUGGGGUCAGGCACCUUGAAAUACCCCGCCUUCGCCUUGGCGCCCAGCGUAACCGCCGCAACCAAGAGCUCGCCUCUCCUCGCCGGAGCGCCAAGAAACCCCACCUCUCGCCACCGCGCAGCAGCGCCCACCGCCUCUGCUCUCCAGCGCCGGCGACCGAUGGAGCACUUCCAUGAGGAGGAGUACGUGUGGCUGCGCAACAACGUGCACGGCACGUACCUCCACGCCGACAGCGACGGGAGGAGCAUCUCCGUCCACGAGCGCCGCGCGUCGCUGAAAGCGGCGUGGGGAGUGCACAUCUACCAGGUCAACAACGUAAGCUACCUGCUCCUCUACAGCGCCGCCUACGGCCGCUACCUCGCCGCCACGGAUACGCGGGCGCCGGUCGUCCAACGGGGUUACCGCACAGAGCAGCGCGAUUACGACCAGCCGGAGCUGCCGGCUAUCAUGUGGCAAGCCGUUGACAACGGCCUCGGGAACACGAGCGUCCUGCUCCGGGACACCAGGGGCCGCCACCUCUGCGCCAACGGCAAGCACACGGGCAAGUUUUUAGGGUGGUACACCGGCGUCACCGUCGACGAUAUCGACUACAUCAGCUCGAUGAUGCACUGGACAGUGCAGACCAUCCCCCUCAGGGGGCCGGACAUGCCUCAGCCUGGCUUUGCUGCCCCGAUUCCGACGAUUCUCCAAAAGCUCUCUGUUAAGUUAGGACGAGAGCGAGGGAUGUGGCGGUUGAUCCGGUUCACGCUAGCGAGUGCCGAGGGGGGCUACGCCGAGGACGUCAACGACUGGGCAGAACUCCAUUUUGAGGGGCGACUUGUUUAUAGCGUGAGGAAGUGUGUGCACAAACGCCUUGACCGCCCAGUGAACUUAUUCGGGUUUGCCAUGUGCGUCCGAGCGGGCCGCUAUGGGCAUUUGACCCCACUCGUCAAGAUUUUGCCCCACGGUGGCAACGGCGAGACCCUCUAGAUUGUCGUGUACCUGCCCGGGACACCUGCCUAUGAUGAGCUGCGAUACCCGGAUGUCUACUCACAGUAGAGAAAGAUCAGAGCAGGAGUCCUGAUAGUUAAACCUCCUCAAAAGUUUGGCCGCCUCGGACACAAUGACAGCAGAACUGGACGCCUACUUUUGCCUAUAGAUAGAUAUAGUCUAUGGUAGGCUGCGAUACCCGGAUGUCCAUGCAGAGUAGAGAAAGGUCGGAGCAGGAGUCCUGAGAGUUCACCUCCUCAGAAUCUUGGCCGCCUCGGCACAAUGACAGCAGAGCUAGAUGCCUACUUUUACAUAUAGAUGGAUAUAGGUCGAGAAAACUUAUCAGCUCUUGUGUUUCUUCAGCUAGCUAAAACUUUCUCCGUUUUGUCGAAGAGGCAGGGGGAACCUGUCUGUUCUGGCCUCGCGGUUCUAUGAUUCAGAACUUCUGAAAUCGUUGCCUCCAACUGUUGGAGUGUCGCUCUUCUGGCAUUUACCUGUAGGGGUUCUUGCGAUGGGUUGAUGAUCUUUCAUUUCUUUUUUGGAUGAUGAUGUACUAAGUAUAAAUGAAAAGGCAGUGGUUCUUGCCAGUAAUGAGUUGAUGAUCUUGUGUUUACUACAAAUGCAAAAUGUAGCUUGUUCUUGUUGUGAG